rnacentral:rRNA from 1 species
GACGAACGCUGGCGGCGUGCUUAACACAUGCAAGUGGAGCGACGAACCAGGCUUCGGCCUGGGGCAGAGCCGCGAACGGGUGAGUAACACGUGGGUAACCUGCCUCGAUGACCGGGACAACCCGGGGAAACCCGGGCUAAUACCGGAUGUGCUGCCCUCACAUCAGUGAGGUUGAAAGAGCUUCGGCCUCGCAUCGAGAUGGGCCCGCGGCCCAUUAGCUUGUUGGUGAGGAAAGGCUCACCAAGGCUGCGAUGGGUAGCUGGUCUGAGAGGACGAUCAGCCACACUGGGACUGAGACACGGCCCAGACUCCUACGGGAGGCAGCAGUGGGGAAUCUUGCGCAAUGCGCGAAAGCGUGACGC